CUUAAUCAACAUUUUGUGAACCGCAAGUGUGAAUAAUUUGACCUAAACCCAUCUUUUUUCUUCAGAGACGGUAGCAAAGAAACGCCCACAUGACACUGGAGGGGGCAGGCAUUAAUGUUGUUUUUCAUAUCCCAAACCCGCAGUACAAUUUUUCUCCUUUUAUACCUGUCUUCUGCUUCUUCAUCGACCUUAGACUGUUAGAUAUGUUUCUAUCAUUGCUCAAUAGAGAUUUAUUCAUCAUUGUCCAUACCUUCUUCAUGAUUCAUGGACUUUUGGCUGAAUUACGUGACAAUGUCAAGGAAAUGGGUAAUUAAAUGUGAUAAUAAGUGAUAUCUACAUUUUACAAGGGUUUAAAACGGAACUCAAUUUUGGAUAAGAAAAUGGCGUAGCUUAUUAAACCAUAGUGUUCUGAUAAAAAUUUCUGAUUUUAAGUUCCAGGUGCAGUGGACUAAAUCGAUCUGGAAAAAGUUUUUCUACCCUCUUAUUUAGUGGAGGCUAUAUGCAUACAUCUAAAAGCCAGCUUGGACAAACUUUCCAAGUAAGCUUUAUCUCUUUUUCUUCUUACCUAUUUGUCUUUGUUCUACUACUGCAAUGCCAAAUUAUUAACUUCUCUUUGUAGAUUUUGGGUAAAUCCUAAUAUUUUGAUUAUGAUUACUUCCUAACUGCACAUACNNN
rnacentral:lncRNA from 1 species